rnacentral:rRNA from 1 species
CACGUAGGGUGCAAGCGUUGUCCGGAAUUAUUGGGCGUAAAGGGCUCGUAGGCGGUCCGUCACGUCGGGAGUGAAAACUCGGGGCUCAACCCCGAGCCUGCUUCCGAUACGGGCGGACUAGAGGUAGGUAGGGGAGAACGGAAUUCCUGGUGUAGCGGUGGAAUGCGCAGAUAUCAGGAGGAACACCGGUGGCGAAGGCGGUUCUCUGGGCCUUACCUGACGCUGAGGAGCGAAAGCGUGGGUAGCGAACAGG